rnacentral:rRNA from 1 species
AACAAUUGGAGGGCAAGUCUGGUGCCAGCAGCCGCGGUAAUUCCAGCUCCAAUAGCGUAUAUUAAAGUUGUUGCAGUUAAAAAGCUCGUAGUUGGAAUCUGGAGCGGGCAAAUUUGGUCUUCCAUAACGGUUGAAUCGGUGUGUCUACUCUUCCAUGUGAGUGCUGUCCACUGCCCUUAAAUGGGUGGAGGCUUCAGCUUCACAUCGUUUACUUUGAAGAAAUUAGAGUGUUUAAAGCAGGCAUGUUUCGUCUUGAAUAUAUUAGCAUGGGAUAAUGGAAUCAAGGAUGUUUUCAUUAAUCAAGAACGAAAGUUAGGGGAUCGAAGACGAUCAGAUACCGUCGUAGUCUUAACCAUAAACUAUGCCGACCAAGGAUCAGGAGGCGUUACAUGGAUGACCCUCCUGGCACUUUGUGAGAAAUCAUAAGUCUUUGGGUUCUGGGGGAAGUAUGGUCGCAAGGCUGAAACUUAAAGGAAUUGACGGAAGGGCACACCAGGAGUGGAGCCUGCGGCUUAAUUUGACCCAACACGGGGAAACUCACCAGGUCCAGACAUAAGUCUGAUAGACAGACUGAUAGCUCUUUCUUAAUACUAUGGGUGGUGGUGCAUGGCCGUUCUUAGUUGGUGGAGUGAUUUGUCAGGUUAAUUCCGUUAACGAACGAGAUCCCGACCUGCUAAAUAGUACGUUCGAUCACCUACUCGGGUGCAGGGUCGAUGGUUGGGUUUGGCUUCGGCCGAGCUCACCGUUGGCUUGAAUCCUUGGCUGAUCGAUGGUUGCUUCUUAGAGGUAUUGCUAAUGCAAGUUAGAUGAAAUUCGGGUCAAUAACAGGUCUGUGAUGCCCUUAGAUGUCCUGGGCCGCACGCGCGCUACACUGGCUUCCAGAUCGAGUUUACCUGGGUCGAAAGGCUUGGGUAAACUUGUGAAGGGUAGCCGUGAUGGGGAUCGAUGAUUGUAAUUAUUCGUCUUCAACGAGGAAUUCCUAGUAGUCGCAAGUCAUCAGCUUGCGACGAUUACGUCCCUGCCCUUUGUACACACCGCCCGUC